rnacentral:rRNA from 1 species
GGACUAAGGAGUCUAGCAAAUAAGCGAGUGAGUGGGUGUCAAACCCACAUGCGUUGUGAAGGCAUGUGUCGGUCGGAGAGAUCUGAUCGGCGCGCCAGUUUAAGAGUUGACAGGAAGCAUCGAGCAUCUCGUCAUAUCCGAACCUCGAUUGUCUUUCUCGCAAACUCAGAAUAGUCUCUGUCUCAUUGCGAGAAGAGCUAUAUCUCUAGCUUAUGUGCUGGUACCCGAAAGAUGGUGAACUAUGCUUGACCAGGGCUAAGUUAGGGGAAACCCUGAUGUAAGCUCGUUACCGAUUCUGACGUGCAAAUCGAUCGUCAAAGUCAAGUAUAGGGGCGAAAGACCAAUCGAACCAUCUAGUAGCUGGUUCCCUCUGAAGUUUCCCUCAGGAUAGCAGAGACUCAUGUGUUAGUCACAUGUGGUAAAGCGAAUGAUUAGAGGUAUUGGGGACGAAACGGCCUCAACCUAUUCUCAAACUUUUAAUGGGUGUGAUCUGUACGCUUGCAGACUUACGUAUUGCUAAGAGCGAUAUGAGCGAAGUAUCAGAUAGAUAAAAAGUCUUAAGUGGGCCAUUUUUGGUAAGCAGAACUGGCGAUGUGGGAUGAACCAAAAAUUAAGUUAGAGUGCCUAAACAACGCUCAUGGGAAACCAAAAAAGGCGUUAGUAACUAAAGACAGCAGGACGGUGGCCAUGGAAGUAGGA